GGUGGCUCAGUGGUAGAGCGCUUGGCUUGCAUGUAUGAGGCUCUGGGUUCGAUUCCUCAGCACCA
rnacentral:tRNA from 1 species